AUGUCACUCACGUUCUUCUUAUUCCCCUCCUUUAAAACGCCCUCUCCCAUCCGCGAAACCAUCUUCAUCCUUGGAGGCAAAAUGAUUCCUUCAUCCUCCUCCCCCAGUGGAAACAAUGCUCAGCCAUCACAAGAGAACUGCUACAUUGUUCAGAUGGAUCUCUUUGACUUCGGCAAUCAUCGCAACCUCGAGCCUACCACCGUCUCUGCUGUCAAAGAGAGAGACAGCGAGCGCCACGAAAAGCAAAUUGGCGUCGACCCGAUUUCCCUACAGCAAGAGCCGGCCUUCUUCGUGGCAAAACCCUUGGCGCCCAUCAAGACGAGCGGUUUGCACAGCCUCCUUCCCCAGCUCUCGCCUGCCAAGAGCACGUUCCUCAGCCACAGCCUCCCAAACUCGGCCACGACAUCGCCACGCUUCCCUUCCGUUAGUAAUCUACUGAAGAGGAACAAGAAGUGGGUGCAGCAUGAAAGUCAGGCUCAGGCUCCUCCUCGGCUGGAUUUCGACCAUCUCAUGAUGCUCAGCCCCUACCUCGCGAUGCAGCAAGAGAUGAGGAGCUUCAGGAGGAGCAAGUCAUGCGGCGAAGGAAGAGCGGUCCCGCCCUCUGUAGACUUUGAUCUUCUGGCAACCAAAGCUAAGGCUGAAGCUACUGGAACUACUUCUAGCACUAGUGACAGUAGUUGUACCAGUGAUGGUAGCGAGAGCGAAUAUCACCAAGAUGCAAACCUGAAGAACAACUUCCCAAGAUCUGCGAGCAAUGAAGACAGCGAUGGUGAGAGGGAGAAGGAAAGUCGGCAGGAGGAGUUCAAAUGCGGGGCGCUGUGCUUGUUCCUUCCAGGGUUUGGCAAGGCCAAGCCUGUCAAAUCCAAGAAGUACUCAUCACAAGCGCCGGAGAACAACUUUGUGAUCUCCAGGACUGUUUCAUUGAGAAAUUUGAAUGCGGAUCGUGGGCUUCCCCCGUCAUCAACAUGAACGGAAUCAGCCACGAAGAUGGAGCUGGAUCUGGUAUCGGAGACUCCGCCAACCUCUUCUUCGAUCUGCCGCUAGAGAUGAUCCGGAGCAGUGCCAACGACACGCAUUCUCCCGUGACUGCGGCUUUCAUCUUCGACAAUGAGAGGAAGGGCGUCUUGAAGAAGAACGGCUCGCUGAGGACGCCCAACAGGAAGUCCCACGAGUCCUCCCGGCACGUUCGUUUCUCCACGUCUUCGCCGACUUCCUACCCUGCCUCCCCGACUUCUUGCAUCACACCCCGCUUGCGCAAGGCGAGGGAGGACUUCCAUGCCUUCCUAGAAGCACAGAGUGCUUGAAAGUCGUCAUCAAUUCCUAGCAUUUCCAAACCUAAACGCACAAGUCUCCUUUCCACUGAUCCAACUGCACGGUAUGCAUUUGUGUCGUGACUUUUUGAACCGAGAAAUCGUGAUGUCGUCGUGUCUCGAUGCAGAGACGGAACGAUCCAUGGAAUGUAAACCCGCCCAGCUUCUCUUGCAUUGAAAAGUUUUGGUGAUGAGACGUCUGUUCCGUUUUUGUUUCUUUAGGUUGUACAUGGUGGAA